rnacentral:rRNA from 1 species
UUUAUGGAGAGUUUGAUCCUGGCUCAGGAUGAACGCUGGCGGCGUGCCUAAUACAUGCAAGUCGAGCGAACGGACGAGAAGCUUGCUUCUCUGAUGUUAGCGGCGGACGGGUGAGUAACACGUGGAUAACCUACCUAUAAGACUGGGAUAACUUCGGGAAACCGGAGCUAAUACCGGAUAAUAUUUUGAACCGCAUGAUUCAAAAGUGAAAGACGGUCUUGCUGUCACUUAUAGAUGGAUCCGCGCUGCAUUAGCUAGUUGGUAAGGUAACGGCUUACCAAGGCAACGAUGCAUAGCCGACCUGAGAGGGUGAUCGGCCACACUGGAACUGAGACACGGUCCAGACUCCUACGGGAGGCAGCAGUAGGGAAUCUUCCGCAAUGGGCGAAAGCCUGACGGAGCAACGCCGCGUGAGUGAUGAAGGUCUUCGGAUCGUAAAACUCUGUUAUUAGGGAAGAACAUAUGUGUAAGUAACUGUGCACAUCUUGACGGU